rnacentral:lncRNA from 1 species
UGGCACUGCCUCCCACAUUGGGGGUCCAUAUGGGCGUGGCACCACUGAAGGGCAUCAGAAGGUCUGACCAGGCCCUGUUCCCAGAGUUCUCAGGUCUAAGUCUGAAGAAGACAGCAGCAGACCGAGCAGAAGAUGUUCUGCUGCAGAAGGCAGAAGCUUUGGCAGAGGUGCUAGAUCCACAGAACCGCGAGUCUCGUUCUCCGCGUCGCUGUGUAAGGCUGCACGAGUCCUGCUUGGGACAACAGGUACCUUGCUGCGACCUGUGCGCCACGUGCUACUGCCGCUUCUUCAAUACCUUUUGCUACUGCCGCAAGCUAGGUACUGGCACCACGAACCUCUGCAGCCGCCCCUAGCCAACGGAUGUUGGGCAAAGGCAGGGGACGCGAAUAAACGAUGGGACUAACUCUAA